rnacentral:lncRNA from 1 species
UGGAAUAGGAAACGUAAUAAUAUCAGAUUUACAACCCAAUUUAUAGUCCGAAGGGUUUCAGUUUGAUUGAGAAAUAAAACCAAAGUUGUAUUGGUGUGUUAAAUAUUCUGCACCGUGCAUGAAAACAGCUUUGUGAUGUGAUGAGAUGAAGGGACAUUUAAAGGGAGAUACUGUGGAGAAUACGGUAAUCAUGAAAACGACUUUGUGAUGUGAUGCGAUGAAGGGACAUUUAAAGGGAGAUACUGUGGAGAGUACAGUAAUCUUGAAAGCCAGACUCACCAGGAAAGGAGUGAUGUGAAUCUACUCGAUUCAACAAGAGAGGCCAGAUGUAUAAUUUCGGGAGCCGUGGGCAGAGGAAACCAUGAACAUUUAACCGGGAGAAAUGAACAGCACGUGCAGGGAAGAGUCGUGGAAUUGCUAGUGUUUGAAGUAAUAUCAUCCAAAUCUCGUGUCUUCCAGAGAGUUUCCCCAAGAGCAAGCCCGCCACCUACAGGAAGGUGAAACAGAAGUCGCCAGUCAGGCAGCCUUUUCUUCUGUUGAAAUGCAGAGUAAUAG